GGCCAGCAGCCGCGGUAAUACGAAGGUCCCAAGCGUUGUUCGGAAUUACUGGCGUAAAGCGCACGUAGGCGGAUUAGAAAGUUAGAGGUGAAAUCCCGGGGCUCAACCCCGGAACUGCCUUUAAAACUACUAGUCUAGAGUUCGAGAGAGGUGAGUGGAAUUCCGAGUGUAGAGGUGAAAUUCGUAGAUAUUCGGAGGAACACCAGUGGCGAAGGCGGCUCGCUGGCUCGAUACUGACGCUGAGGUGCGAAAGUGUGGGGAGCAAACAGGAUUAGAUA
rnacentral:rRNA from 1 species